UGAGGUUGCAGUGAGCUGAGAUUAUACCACUGCACUCCAGCCUGGGUGACAAAGUGAGAGACUCCGUCUCAAAAAAAAAAAAAAAUCUUGCCUUGUUCCCAUAUUUAUUGUCUCCUGAAGGAGACUGUGAGCUUCCUGAGAGUAGGUCCUUGUUAGCUCACUUUUCUCAGCUUGGCGAAGGCACCUGGCACAUAGUAGGUGAUUAAUAAUAUUGUCUGGCUGGGUGAAUGAAGGUGUCUGAGCACCCACAGUCAUUUUCCUCAUUAUUCCUCCCUGUUCUCACAAGCUAGGAUUGUGAUGCCCUUUUGACAGAUGAUGAGAUUGAGUCUCAGGGAGGUUUGGCAGGCUGCCUGGGUCACAGAGUGGGUGAGCAGUAUGUGUCUGUGCUUCCUCUGGGUGUCCGUGUGUGUGUCUGUGAGUCUCUGGGCAUGCAGGCAUUCCUAUGGAUUUGUGUGUCUCUGUGUGUUUGCAGGUACCCUUCCUCCCUAUGCAUACGUGGCUGUGGUGUGCAUAUCUCUAUUUCUCUGUGUUAGUCUGUGCAUAUCAUUGUGAGGCCCUUCAUGUCAGCUGUCCUAAUGCCUCUGUGUGUCCCUGGGCAUGUGUGUCCACAGUCCAGCUCUGUCAGCUCUCCCAGCCCCCACUUGGUGGUCUGCCUCAUUUCCUGCUGCCCCAGGCUCCUUCAGGGCUCUCACAGCCUGUCAUCUUUCAGCUGCAGGGUCCUUGAGUUUUUUAGGCACCUGGGGAGCUGGAGCAGAGGAGAGAGGCAGGCAGGCACUGUGCACCCCUGGGGCCCACAGACCUCAACCCGUGAAAACCCGCACUAGCCCCGGGAUUGGCUCCUGACUUAAAAUUGCCAAUCCCUGAUCGAGCUGCCAGGAGCCUGCACUGGGCUGGUUCCCAUGGCAACAGGGAAGCUGCCAGGCCUCCCGCUCAUAAAACAGGUCAUAAAGUAGGGGGAUGGGAGGAGGAGUGGGGGCUGCCCGGCUGAGGGAGGGGCUGGCUGCCCAGGGGUUGCUGGGGCCACUUCCCUUGGAGACCUGGCCAUGCACCUGCCGGGUUCUGCUCUGCCCCUCACACGGGGCAGCCUCUUUGUGAAUGGGAGUAGUCAUGGCCCUCUAGUUCUGCCUCUAGAGUCGGUGAGGCUAGGGGAAGAGUCAGCGUGAGUCCCAGCCACCUCCUCAGCCCCAGGGCCUCCCCGCUGCAACCACGAAGAGGAGAGGGCCUGGCAAGCUUGGGCUUGGUCCUCCAGAAGGACCUGGGGAUCCAUCUGCAGGGAUCACAAGACAACCUCCCAUUGCUCAGAGGAAGAAAUUGAGGCCCAGAGAGGGCUAGUGACUUGCACAGAGUCACACAGCAAGAAGGCAGCUGCAAGGAUUCAAACCCAAUUCUUUGGAGCCAGUUAUGCUCCCAAUAAGCCCUAUGGCUGGCCAAGUACCCCGGGCCACUGGCAAAAUUGAAGGAAGCAAAACAAUAGUGGCAGCAGUGGUGAUUCCCAUGUAUCGUGGCCUUAGCACUUAUCGUGGUACUGGGCACCGCGCACCCUUCAUGCACACCUUGUGUAGUCCUUGCUGCAGUCCUACAGGGUUAAGGCACACGACACACAUUAUCACAUCAUCCCCAUUUUAGAGAUAAGAAAAUUGAGGCUAUGUGAUUUUCUCCAGGUAAAUUCAAGAGACUUGAAUCCCAUCCAAGAGACCUGAACCCAGACUGCUGAUCCCAGAGCAGCAUACAAGGCCUUCAGCCCUGGGGUCUUUCUGUGGUAUAACUCUUGGGAGUGCCCAUGGGGGCUGCCUUGUGCUGAUCACAGCAAGGCCCGGGGAAAGCAUAAUUUUCUGUCUGUCCAUCCAUCUGGCUACCUACCUGACUACCUAUCUAUUUGUACACUCAACCAAUAUUUACCCAGGGCUUUCUCCAUGCCAGGCAUAUUCAGGCAUUGGGAGGCACAUGGCAGUGAACAAAGCAGGUGGUGCCUGGCUUUGUGGCCCUCAAACCCUCGUGGGGAGAGGCAGAGUAUAAACAGAGAAACAACAAAGACGUGUGUCAGGUGGUGGUGAGGGCUAUGGAGAAAAACAGAGCCGGAGGAGGGGCAGUGCACGGCGGCGGGGUCGGAGAAGGCUUCUCUGAGGAGGUGACAUUUGAACGGUGAUCUGAAGGAGGUGAGGGCUUGGUUCGUGUGCGGAUCGCUAGAGAAGGGUUUCUGGCAGAGGAAACAGCAGGAGCAAAGGCCCCGAGGUGGGAGCGUGCCUGGCAUGUUGGAGGAACAGAGAACAGCUUCCAGGUGAUGCUGAUGCUGCCCAUCCCGGGACCUCACCUUGAGACCCACAGACUGUUGCAGCUGUGGAAGUGGAGGCUUACAGCUGGGAGGUGACUGGUUAUAGAGCGAGAAAUUGAGCCAAAGCCUCUCUGGUCCUCGGAGAACUUCUGGACCCUGAUGGAGAGAGAAGGGAGCCCUCAGAAGUCUGUCCGCAGAGGAUAGGAGGUGGGCGUGACUGGAGCUCCUAGGGAUCCUCUGGUUUCUGCCUCCGUUUCCACGGAAGCCAAUAAAAAGGGGAGUUUCCCAGCC